rnacentral:ncRNA from 2 species
GGAUUCACCUAGGGGUGCCUUUGGCUGAGAGCGUAGUUUGAUACGUAACCCUUUGAACCUGAACUAGGUAAAACUAGCGGAGGAAAGUGUGGAAAAACGAGUU